GGGGGCCUGAGGACUGGAAUUGGGAAACACUGCAUUAAAGGACUCAGAGCUUUGCUGAUGGAGAAAAUCCCGUCUGAGACAUCAAGAGGGUCUACCUGUUUGGUCCUCAAUGCCCCCUGGAGAGAUUCAGCAGCAACACGCAGGCUGCUCUGAUAAACAGGAACAGAAAUGGUGGCGUGUUGAAAUAUUUUGGGCCCUUCCAAAUUCAUGAGCCAUCUAUACCCACUAACACUGAGUGACUUUCUCAUUUCUACUCUCCCAUGAAGCUCUGACUGGUGAAGAAGGAACAUCUGAGACGCUCAUCCUGGCUGUAAUAUUAACUUCCUGUUCCUGUUCC